CCUACGGGGGGCUGCAGCGGGGAAUAUUGCACAAUGGGCGCAAGCCUGAUGCAGCCAUGCCGCGUGUGUGAAGAAGGCCUUCGGGUUGUAAAGCACUUUCAGCGGGGAGGAAGGCGUUAAGGUUAAUAACCUUGUCGAUUGACGUUACCCGCAGAAGAAGCACCGGCUAACUCCGUGCCAGCAGCCGCGGUAAUACGGAGGGUGCAAGCGUUAAUCGGAAUUACUGGGCGUAAAGCGCACGCAGGCGGUCUGUCAAGUCGGAUGUGAAAUCCCCGGGCUCAACCUGGGAACUGCAUUCGAAACUGGCAGGCUAGAGUCUUGUAGAGGGGGGUAGAAUUCCAGGUGUAGCGGUGAAAUGCGUAGAGAUCUGGAGGAAUACCGGUGGCGAAGGCGGCCCCCUGGACAAAGACUGACGCUCAGGUGCGAAAGCGUGGGGAGCAAACAGGAUUAGAUACCCAGGUAGUC
rnacentral:rRNA from 1 species